rnacentral:rRNA from 1 species
CCUACGGGAGGCAGCAGUGGGGAAUCUUAGACAAUGGGCGCAAGCCUGAUCUAGCCAUGCCGCGUGUGUGAUGAAGGCCUUAGGGUCGUAAAGCACUUUCGCCAGGGAUGAUAAUGACAGUACCUGGUAAAGAAACCCCGGCUAACUCCGUGCCAGCAGCCGCGGUAAUACGGAGGGGGUUAGCGUUGUUCGGAAUUACUGGGCGUAAAGCGUACGUAGGCGGAUCAGAAAGUAAGGGGUGAAAUCCCAGGGCUCAACCCUGGAACUGCCUCUUAAACUCCUGGUCUUGAGUUCGAGAGAGGUGAGUGGAAUUCCGAGUGUAGAGGUGAAAUUCGUAGAUAUUCGGAGGAACACCAGUGGCGAAGGCGGCUCACUGGCUCGAUACUGACGCUGAGGUACGAAAGUGUGGGGAGCAAACAGGAUUAGAUACCCUGGUAGUCCACACCGUAAACGAUGAAUGCCAGUCGUCGGGCAGUAUACUGUUCGGUGACACACCUAACGGAUUAAGCAUUCCGCCUGGGGAGUACGGUCGCAAGAUUAAAACUCAAAGGAAUUGACGG